GACCACAGAGAAAAAUAUGUCCUUUCAACCAGAUCUGUAAUUACUUACCGUGCUGAAAGAAAAUACUUAACAGUGAAAAAAUUGAAGAUCUUUCUUCAGAGAAGUUAUGCUAGAAAUACUUUCAUGAUCCAUGCUGUUUCCUGUCUUAUGCCUGACAUGCACUAUGAGUAAUUUUGGAAAUUCUUCUGCACCAAUGACAGAGACAACAUGAACACAGUCUCUGCUACCUCAAAUUCUGCAGUCCGGUUUCCCAUGUGUUGGUAAAUCCGCAGGGUCAGCAUGCCCAAGGUGCAAGAAGUGGAUGGGAAAACCCAACUGCCUCUUUCCUUUUGCCAGCAUGCUUUGGAAACGGCGCUCUGCCAAUCCUCCCAAGCGACUUCAGUUACGCGCCACCAGAGAAACAGGAUCAUUUGGACAGGUGAACCCUGGCAUGGCACCAACGUCCUCUUCAUUGCAAGCAAUAAUGUGUUGCUGAGUAUUGGAUGUGAAGAUAACGGUGUUGCCUAGGAGUUACUGAAGGAGCAACGAGGAGAUAAUGGAAUCAUACAAGUGCUUUUGGAAAUAAAUGGCCCCACAGAAUAUUACUGUUGGUGAGAAUGCAAUAGCGGGAAAGAACAAGCUCAGCUAUUGAGACUGUUUGCAGAAAACACACGGAGAAGAAAUGCCGUGGUUUUGUCCUUGAGCGUUAAGCAAGCUCAUGGGCAAAUGAGGGAGAGACAAUAAGCGCAAAGCUCCUGCCUGCCCCUUUUACUUUCAUUUUGAGAAGAAACUUCAAUAACGAAUCUUGAAGAAAUGAAUCACCUUUUCUCCCAUUGCCCUCCCCAGAGCUCUCAGCCACCAGCUUGGCAGGAACUUUCAGGUGGAGAAACAGCCCCUGGAGCGGGGGGAGGCCCAGAGGAGAGAAAGGUGCCAACACGGCGGAAGACGAAACCAUUCAAAGAAGGACAGAAAAGUAAAGAGCUCCGACCAAGUCCGUGCCUGACGUUAGCCGAGUGUGGGUCGCUGCCCUGUGCCAGCAGUGCAUUUCCUUCGUACUUCCACAAGAGAAGGACCACUCCCCGCUUGCUGACCACGAACUCCAGCACUGGUAUCCUGAGUUUUUAAGAGACCCUUUAUUUUUCACAGAAUGAUAGAGCACAUAAACACCUCAGUGAAUAGCACGUGUCUGCACAUGGAAGACACUUUGUACACACCUGGUUUCAAUAAAGUUCAGUCCAUAUAGCAGAUUAAUAACUGUAACUGGAUAAUGUAAUUUUUAAUGGGCUAGGCAUUUCCUACUACCACUUCUCCUUUCUUCCCCUCUUCUUGCCAGCACUCAAUAAAUGGAUAUUAUUUCCCAACUGACUAAAUUUUAACACCCAUAGUAUGGGAAGCAUAAUAAUUAUUUGAUCCGUGGAUAUUUUAUCACAUAUGUUCCUACAGCUCUUAGAGAAUAACAUAUGUUAUUUAGCUCCUUGGUGAAGCAUGGGCAUCUUCAAAUGCACUUGGCUUACGCUGUAAUUGAUUUCAAUAAAAUUUAGGAAUUCAUCUGGGCUACAUGAGAGACGUACAGCAAACAGGGCCAAACCCCUAUUUUUAGGAGCUUUUUAUGCAUGUGGAAAAGAGAAUAAAAAUUCAGGGAACAUGCAGGCAAUGAAAGCAGUGCUGCUUUGUGUGAUUUCUGCCAGAUGCAGACAGAAAGCCUAUAGCAGCGUUGAGAAAUGAACCUUGUUGUUCUGUACACCAUUUUUGUUGAGCGCGGGACUAUCUUUCCUUUCUUUGAGCACGUAAGCUGAAUCAAACAAGCACACACAAGAUAAAGGAGAGCAGAUGUGUGGCUGAGGAUGAAAAUGGAUUGUUUAAACAGACUGGUUUAAGCACUACAUGUCAGAAGGACAAAUACACAAAAUGGAGAUUUAUCAGCUAUCUAAGUAGCCACACUGUCGAAAGGAGCUCAGGCUUAGCAGAGGGCAGAAAUGGCAGCUGGGACAGGCUGCUGCUCUUACUCCUGAUUAUCCCAGGGAUAACAUACGAGAGAAUUAGGAAGAAAUUAUUAAGCUAUAGAAUUUACUUUCAUUUAUAUGCUGGCUAUUUUAGUACAGUAUUAUAUGUUAUCUUGUCCACAGUUAAGCCAGGAUGACGACUAGCUGGUUUAUACUCUCCAGUUUUGAAUGUCAUACAAAAUUAUUUUUUGUAGUUAAAUCAGAUAAGAGCAAGAAAAUAUAAAAAGACAAAAAAAGACUCUCAAAACCUGAUCAGUGGGGAAAGGUCAAAGAAAUGGAGUUGUUUAAUCUGGAAAGGACAUAAAUAAAAAGGAAUGUGCUAUUGGUAUUCCAAUAUGUGAAAGCUGUUUCUCUUCUAAGGAGGCUGGUGAUCGAUUAUUCUCCAUUUUGAUUGUGGCUUGGCUUAAUUUACCGUAAGGGAGAAUAGGAUUAGAUACUCAGAAAAAAAGUCUUUCUAGCUAUAAGAGUAGUUAAACACUAGAACAGACAAUAUAGGGAAGUCUUGGGACAGCAUUCCUUGGAGAUUUUCAAAAAUAAGGUUAGACAAACAUCCAUCAGAGAUGAUCUGAGUAUACUUAAUCCUGCGAAGGGAAUAGCUAAUCUCCUGGGGUCCUUCCCAGCUCUGCAUUUUGAUGAUGUCUAAGAGAAAGGUGACAGAUGGAGGAGAAAAUGGGAUGAGAGCAGGUAGGAUUAGUACGGACUUCAGGGGUGGUGUGGGAGAAGCCCCAAGGCGCAGACUGGGACAGCAAGCACGAGGAGCAGUGACAUAAACCUGCAGUCUCUGCAGACAGCAUCCAGAUUGCCUUGCAUGGCUCUUAAGGAAAUUGAUGCAUCUAGGUCAUUUGCACUUAUUUGUCUAAAUAUGAUCUUUUUUUACCCUACAGCUUCUAUGAUUUCCCUUUCUUUCCCUAGCUGAGGUUAAUUAAGCUCUUCUGAAAAAUGCUCUGCAGUCUGUUCACGUAAUAUGUACUGAGGAUUCACAAGGAAAAGAUGAAGCCAAAAAAAGUAAUAUUUGAUGGGAGCACAAAACAAAGUUUUGACACAUUACGUAAACCUACCACAAUUCUGCUCUCUGCAUUUGCUUUGUCGGAGGUUUACAGCUGAAGUGCUUGUGCCUGAGGUAGCGGCUGCGUUCAGGGGGAUGUACCUGACUGCGUGACCUGCUUGGGCCAUUUUCUCCUGCUCUCACUCUGACUUAAAUAUCCCUAUUUCACUGUCCACUGUCUGAAGGGGGGAGGUGACUUUCUCUAGCUGCGCUUGAAAGAAAAAAAUCUCAUUUGUGACCAUCGUAAGGAAAC